rnacentral:rRNA from 1 species
AUUGAACGCUGGCGGCAUGCUUUACACAUGCGAGUCGAACGGCAGCACGGGAGCUUGCUCCUGGUGGCGAGUGGCGAACGGGUGAGUAACAUAUCGGAACGUACCCAGUCGUGGGGGAUAACUAUCCGAAAGGAUAGCUAAUACCGCAUACGUCCUGAGGGAGAAAGCGGGGGAUCGCAAGACCUCGCGCGAUUGGAGCGGCCGAUAUCGGAUUAGCUAGUUGGUGGGGUAAAGGCUCACCAAGGCGACGAUCCGUAGCGGGUCUGAGAGGACGACCCGCCACACUGGAACUGAGACACGGUCCAGACUCCUACGGGAGGCAGCAGUGGGGAAUUUUGGACAAUGGGGGCAACCCUGAUCCAGCCAUGCCGCGUGAGUGAAGAAGGCCUUCGGGUUGUAAAGCUCUUUCAGCAGGAACGAAACGGUCGGCUUUAAUAAAGUCGGCUAAUGACGGUACCUGCAGAAGAAGCACCGGCUAACUACGUG